rnacentral:tRNA from 1 species
AAAGUAAGUUGAAAAAAAAAUUAAUGGGGCAUAGCGUAGUUCGGUAACGUACCAUCUUGGGGUGAUGACGAUCGUGGGUUCAAAUCCUACUGCUUAAA